UACGAAGGGGGCUAGCGUUGCUCGGAAUCACUGGGCGUAAAGGGUGCGUAGGCGGGUCUUUAAGUCAGAGGUGAAAUCCUGGAGCUCAACUCCAGAACUGCCUUUGAUACUGAAGAUCUUGAGUUCGGGAGAGGUGAGUGGAACUGCGAGUGUAGAGGUGAAAUUCGUAGAUAUUCGCAAGAACACCAGUGGCGAAGGCGGCUCACUGACCCGAUACUGACGCUGAGGCACGAAAGCGUGGGGGAGACAA
rnacentral:rRNA from 1 species